GUCCGGAGCCGGUCGCUAAGCUUCAGCGAGCCCCAGCAGCCAGCACCUGCGAUGAAAUCUCAUCUGAUCGUCACUUCUCCACCCCGGGCCCAGAGUGGUGCCAGGAAAGCCCGAGGGGAGGCUAAGAAGUGCCGCAAGGUGUAUGGCAUCGAGCACCGGGACCAGUGGUGCACGGCCUGCCGGUGGAAGAAGGCCUGCCAGCGCUUUCUGGACUGAGCUGUGCUGCAGGUUCUACUCUGUUCCUGGCCCUGCCGGCAGCCACUGACAAGAGGCCAGUGUGUCACCAGCCCUCAGCAGAAACCGAAAGAGAAAGAACGGAAACACGGAGUUUGGGCUCUGUUGGCUAAGGUGUAACACUUAAAGCAAUUUUCUCCCAUUGUGCGAACAUUUUAUUUUUUAAAAAAAAGAAACAAAAAUAUUUUUCCCCCUAAAAUAGGAGAGAGCCAAAACUGACCAAGGCUAUUCAGCAGUGAACCAGUGACCAAAGAAUUAAUUACCCUCCGUUUCCCACAUCCCCACUCUCUAGGGGAUUAGCUUGUGCGUGUCAAAAGAAGGAACAGCUCGUUCUGCUUCCUGCUGAGUCGGUGAAUUCUUUGCUUUCUAAACUCUUCCAGAAAGGACUGUGAGCAAGAUGAAUUUACUUUUC
rnacentral:lncRNA from 1 species